AGGCGUUAAAUAAAGACGUGUCAUUUAACGUGAACGCAGACAUAGCCCCCGAACCGCUGUCGCCCCUUUUAAUCCACCUGAGCAUGUUUUAUGAACAUCAAGUUUUACGUAUAAAAAAGUUUUGACAGCCAACGUGCUGCGCCAAUAAACAUCAGCCCCAUAAUGUUUCAGCCACCUCUUCUUUUAUGUUAAUUCUUAUUGUUUUAAUAUUUCGAGAUGCGGUUGUUGUCUUUAAGUUUACGCACCAAAGAUUGAAGGAUCGUAAAACGUUUUUUUGGUAUUGUGGCGUUGCGGUGUGCUGUGAGCGCGGUGUCUGCCGGCCUCGUGUCCCGACCCCCACGGAGAGAGACGAAUAAAUAACAGACGAAUGGGAAUCGUCUCGCCGCGUGGGCAGAACGUUUGCAGUUGCUACAAUGAAAUUCAAUACAAGGUAUUACCUCCGAUGCAUGCUGCACGCCUGAUCCGGCGUCACAUCGGCGCUUGUAACUCAGGCUGGCUUAAUUAGAAAGUCAGCGUUCGUUGCAUUCCUUCUUGAAGACGAGGCAGUGAGGGCAGUCUCAUUCCGGCGUUACGAGUGUUGCGAUCAGGUGUACCGGUUACUUAGCGACUGUUUACCCACCGGGCGCGCCCCGGGUCACUACACCGAAUUGAAAUUAAGUACGUACGUCGAAGAUUACAGCGGCUCGCGAGCCGCGCGACCCGGUAGCUGCACUGUACUAGGGCGCCGCCCGCCCACUGUUAUUAUCUGGCUGCAACGUCACUUCCGAUCUCCUCUCGCCGCACCGAGGUCCACUACCGCCAUCUCGACAGCGUGGCGUUCAACGUUUGAACUAUCUCGAGCGAAACGACUCGAAUUCUGGUGAUUCAACAUUGAAAGCCGACGGUUAACAAUGACAAUUAGCUUCACAAUUGGAAUAACGUAAUGAACACAAAGACGUCAAACCAGACAAACGACGCUCUAAUCAGUCGACUGCUUGUUCAGAGCUCGACUGGAGGACGUAUAAAGGCUUUUGUGCAACUGGUGAGGCUCUUGUGACGAUCAAAGAUAUUGAUUUCAAUACAUUGAAUCAAAGACCGCUUAAUCACAUAGAACAAUAUCUCUAUUUACUAUGCAAUGAUAAUG